AAAAAAAAAAAAUCCUUUCCUUUCUGUCGGUCUUCUCCCUCUGUACUUUUCGCGAAGGCACCGGAGGAGAUGUUGAUGUUGCAUGAUGAAGACUUGAAAGGAUUACUAAUUCAAAGAACACAGGUCUGCAAUUCAGCUAUUAGAUUUCAAUUGAUGGGCAAUUGUAGUUUCCGAGAGAGAGAGAGAGAUAAGAAAUCGGUUGUGUUUCUUUGCUUUACACGAAGAGAUAGAGAGAGAUCAGAGGCAAGUUCUCACCUCAUCAUCUGAGAUCCGGGGUUAGUUGCUCUUCUUCAAGUUUCAACCUUUAGAACUUUGGAUCGUUCGUCGUAUUGUUUGUUUAGAACACCCCGCGAUUGGGAUCACUAUGUUUUGAGCACUAAAACUGAAUCUGUGAGUGGUUUAUGUGAUUAUGGGGAUAUAUAUAUCUUCUUUAGUCCCUACUUUCGAAUCUGUGUAAUCAUCUAUUGACCAUAAAGAUCCAAUCGUGGUAUCCACCGAAUUCUUGGAAUAGAGGGUGGAUACAGAGGGUUUUUGCCAGAAGUACAAUUCCCUUAACACCAAAGAUUGUGAAUGACAUCCAUAAACGUGGUGACACCAACCUUGGGACAUCACGAGGUAGCCAUGAUACCUCAAAGAUUGCGGACAGCAUUCAGAACAGAGGAAUUAAUCAGUGCUGCCAUUUUGCCCAAAUAACAAUGCAAUUCACAUCUGUACUCUGAUCCAAUCCAAAUGGGAAAACCUGUUCUUCAGAAGGAUUUCAAUGGCUGCAUUUGUUUUCCCAUACUCUUGAUAUAGAAUGCUGUAUAUCAACAAUGGAAACUUGGAGCAUUGACUUCAUGCAGUCUUGCUUAUUUACAUAAGGCCAUUCAACCAAAGGUGAUCUUCUUGGCCACUAAGCACUUUGUAAAGGAAUGGAAAUUUUCUGGUGGUGUAGAAAGAACUAUUAGUAACAUUGGUUUGCCAAAUCAAGUUUGACUGAUAAGGAAAUUGAAGUCAAGAGUGAGUUGCCUCCAAGUGAGAUGGUGGUAAUGCCACUAGAUGCAACUAUUAGACAGCUUAAACAAGAAGCUGAGAGUGUCCUCAGAGAUGCAUAUUAUGACAGAAGAGUUUGUGGUGAUGGAAAUCAAAGGCCUGGAGGAAUCGGAUGAUAUACAGGUACUUUCUGGACCAGUUCAAUCGAGGACAGUUUGUUUCUCUUCACACAAAUACUAUUCCGAUUAAUGUAAUAUACGGUAUUUUAUCAGUUGAAUCAAGAAUAAAGUCAUUUUCAAUUA